CACUCCUACGGGAGGCAGCAGUGGGGAAUAUUGGACAAUGGGCGCAAGCCUGAUCCAGCCAUGCCGCGUGAGUGAUGAAGGCCCUAGGGUUGUAAAGCUCUUUCACCGGUGAAGAUAAUGACGGUAACCGGAGAAGAAGCCCCGGCUAACUUCGUGCCAGCAGCCGCGGUAAUACGAAGGGGGCUAGCGUUGUUCGGAUUUACUGGGCGUAAAGCGCACGCAGGCGGACUAUUAAGUCAGGGGUGAAAUCCCGGGGCUCAACCCCGGAACUGCCUUUGAUACUGGUAGUCUUGAGUUCGAGAGAGGUGAGUGGAAUUCCGAGUGUAGAGGUGAAAUUCGUAGAUAUUCGGAGGAACACCAGUGGCGAAGGCGGCUCACUGGCUCGAUACUGACGCUGAGGUGCGAAAGCGUGGGGAGCAAACAGGAUUAGAUACCCUUGUAGUCCCAUG
rnacentral:rRNA from 1 species